rnacentral:lncRNA from 1 species
GGAAGUAGCAACAUUUUAUGAAGAGAUGGUAAAGUGAAGUUCAACAUUUGUGAGGAGGAAGAAGAGGAAGGAAUAGAGCAUGAGCUGGUUUGUCAGUUGGAGAAAUCGAGCAUUUCCAAAGCCAGGAGUAGGGCUGUGAAAGAAGAUCAUGUGCAGAGGGGUGAAAGCAUUCAACAUGAUGACAUCUGCACAACUGGAGCUCCAUAAACACUUAGGAGAAGAAAGUGUAUCAAAGUAAGUUACAAUCAACAUUUUGUAAUAAAGUUUCAUGUUGCUUUAUUAGAUAAAUCAUAAAAG